CAGCCGCCGCGGUAAUACGAAGGGUGCAAGCGUUACUCGGAAUUACUGGGCGUAAAGCGUGUGUAGGUGGUUGUUUAAGUCUGUCGUGAAAGCCCUGGGCUCAACCUGGGAAUUGCGAUGGAUACUGGGCGACUAGAGUGCGGUAGAGGAUAGUGGAAUUUCCGGUGUAGCAGUGAAAUGCGUAGAGAUCGGGAGGAACAUCAGUGGCGAAGGCGGCCAUCUGGGACAACACUGACGCUGAGGCACGAAAGCGUGGGGAGCAAACAGGAUUAGAUACCCCCGUAGUCCCUGUCUCUUAUAC
rnacentral:rRNA from 1 species